rnacentral:miRNA from 2 species
AAACGGAACCCCAAAAGUAGCUG